rnacentral:rRNA from 1 species
UACGGGGGGGGCAAGCGUUGUUCGGAAUUACUGGGCGUAAAGGGCGCGUAGGCGGCGCGACAAGUCACUUGUGAAAUCUCCGGGCUUAACUCGGAGCGGCCAAGUGAUACUGUCGUGCUAGAGUGCGGAAGGGGCAACUGGAAUUCUCGGUGUAGCGGUGAAAUGCGUAGAUAUCGAGAGGAACACCUGCGGCGAAGGCGGGUUGCUGGGCCGACACUGACGCUGAAGCGCGAAAGCCAGGGGAGCGAACGGG